AAAGAACUCGGGCGCAAUGAUCUUCCUCUGGUGGGCCCAAGCCUCGCCGUUGGACUUGAGGAUGCCUCUGCCGAACAGUGGCUCGUGCGUGGCCUUUAGGUAGGAGCUCUUGCCGAGGUCCAGCGAGACGCCGAGGUUGAUGUCCCGAACCACGUCUGCCCGGCUCACGUGAAGGAACACCACGUUCCCCAUGGAGUAAGUGAACACUGGACCUGCAUGCACUCAUACUACAUGUUAAUGAAUGAAUAUGAAAUGAACCCUGCCCGGUUCCCACACGUAAUAAUUACUGUACUGUAG
rnacentral:rRNA from 1 species